UCCAGCCAUGCCGCGUGCAGGAAGACUGCCCUAUGGGUUGUAAACUGCUUUUAUACAGGAAGAAACCGCUCUACGUGUAGAGCUCUGACGGUACUGUAAGAAUAAGGAUCGGCUAACUCCGUGCCAGCAGCCGCGGUAAUACGGAGGAUCCAAGCGUUAUCCGGAAUCAUUGGGUUUAAAGGGUCCGUAGGUGGAUAAUUAAGUCAGAGGUGAAAGUCUGCAGCUCAACUGUAGAAUUGCCUUUGAUACUGGUUAUCUUGAGUUAUUAUGAAGUAGUUAGAAUAUGUAGUGUAGCGGUGAAAUGCAUAGAUAUUACAUAGAAUACCAAUUGCGAAGGCAGAUUACUAAUAAUAUACUGACACUGAUGGACGAAAGCGUGGGGAGCGAACAGGAUUAGAUACCCUGGUAGUCCACGCCGUAAACGAUGGUUACUAGCUGUUCGGACUUCGGUCUGAGUGGCUAAGCGAAAGUGAUAAGUAACCCACCUGGGGAGUACGUUCGCAAGAAUGAAACUCAAAGGAAUUGACGGGGGCCCGCACAAGCGGUGGAGCAUGUGGUUUAAUUCGAUGAUACGCGAGGAACCUUACCAGGGCUUAAAUGCAGUACGACAGGUCUAGAGAUAGACUUUUCUUCGGACGGAUUGCAAGGUGCUGCAUGGUUGUCGUCAGCUCGUGCCGUGAGGUGUCAGGUUAAGUCCUAUAACGAGCGCAACCCCUACUGUUAGUUGCCAGCAUGUCAAGAUGGGGACUCUAACAGGACUGCCGGUGCAAACCGUGAGGAAGGUGGGGAUGACGUCAAAUCAUCACGGCCCUUACGUCCUGGGCUACACACGUGCUACAAUGGCCGGUACAGAGGGAAGCCACCCCGCAAGGGGGCGCGGAUCUACAAAACCGGUCACAGUUCGGAUCGGGGUCUGCAACUCGACCCCGUGAAGCUGGAAUCGCUAGUAAUCGGAUAUCAGCCAUGAUCCGGUGAAUACGUUCCCGGGCCUUGUACACACCGCCCGUCAAGCCAUGGAAGCCGGGAGUGCCUGAAGUCCGUCACCGCAAGGAGCGGCCUAGGGCAAAAUUAGUAACUAGGGCUAAGUCGUAACAAGGUAGCCGUACCGGA
rnacentral:rRNA from 1 species